UACGUAGGGUGCGAGCGUUUAAUCGGAAUUACUGGGCGUAAAGUGUGCGCAGGCGGUUGAGCAAGUCGAGUGUGAAAGCCCCGGGCUUAACUUGGGAAUUGCGCUCGAAACUACUUGACUGGAGUGUGGCAGAGGAAGGUGGAAUUCCACGUGUAGCGGUGAAAUGCGUAGAGAUGUGGAGGAACACCAAUGGCGAAGGCAGGCCUUCUGGGCCAACACUGACGCUCAUGCACGAAAGCGUGGGGAGCAAACAGG
rnacentral:rRNA from 1 species